GUCUGCACUUGUCGGGGAAGGGUGAGAACCUUCGAUUAAGGUUCGACUCGAGCGAAAGCGAGAGAACGUUGCCAACGGCAACGGCCCGUAGGGUGAGGAGCGAAACGACGAAUAAUCCUUCCCCCACCACCA
rnacentral:sRNA from 2 species